rnacentral:lncRNA from 1 species
AGCAAUAACAAUAUUUUAUGAAGAAGGCCUAUCAGAAAUGUUUACACUAACAUUUCAACUGGUAGAAGUGCGAAAUAAUAAUUAGCAAAUCCACCACACUCUGGGUGAUAGAAAUGGUACGUGUACCGACACAGAAUAACAUCUCAGCGAAACAUUUACUCUUGGAUGAUCGCCAAUGCUUCCGCUCCGCAAACGCCCCUUUGUGAAUGGAUGUUAUCGCAAUGUCUACUGGGUAAUAGAGUCUUCACGGUGGUGACAAAGGCGUAUUUGCAACGCCCCCAUACAAACUACUAGGUGCCCAGAAAACUACCGGUACCAAGAUGCCCGGCUCCGGACUUUUCCCGAUCAAUGCGUAAAAUGUUCGGACCGCAGCCUUGGAAGUGUGAAGAGCCGGGAAAGAUGAGGAAUAUGACCUGAUGUACCUUGUUUCACAGAUCCCAGUGAAUCCCGUGGAGUGGAGGAGCACACAGACGGGGCCAAGUCAUGGCAGCGGGGUUAGAGAUGGGAGAAGCUGACUUCUUCAUCUUGCUGGAGACCUGAAAGAGUCCCACUUCUUCUGCUCAGGACAGAAUCACAACACCCAUGACUUGCAACAACGAUCCAGAUCGGAUUGGUGUGCUUCAAAUUCUGUAAUGGAAAAUCGUGAUGAUGAUGUUGAGCAGUACCACAGCACUAUGGUGGGAGAGGGGGCAACACAGGGGACAGUACUCCAAAACGCAAGACCAAGUUCUCAACUCUGGGCAAGAUCUUCAAGCCCUGGAAGUGGCGCAAGAAGAAAAGCAGUGACAAGUUCCAAGAGACAUCAGAAGGUUUUAUUCUGACUUUUUUUAUCCACGAAAGGUUUAUCAUCAAAGAAGGUACUUGAGUCAUCUUCUGUACUUGGUAGUUGAGGUCUCCAAACGUUUCGCCUCUCAUCCAAAAGGCUUCGUCAGUGAACAAGGUUACACUCUGGCACG